rnacentral:rRNA from 1 species
GAGAGUUAAAUAGUACGUGAAAUUGUUGAAAGGGAAACGAUUGAAGUCAGUCAUGCUAGUGAAAAAUCAGUUUGACGGGUUUUGAGUUCUUGAGUAGAGGCAGGGUCAAACCGUUUCUCUUUUGGACUUGAGAUUUGUUAGAUGUACUUUUUCUUUGGCAGGUCAACGUCGGUUUCGGGGGUUGUAAAAUACUUGGGGGAAAGUAGCUCUGCUUCGGGAGAGUGUUAUAGACCCUGGGAGAUGCAGCCUGUGGGAUCGAGGAUUGCAGCAAAUGCCUUUUGGCUUGUCGCCUGUUCCUGGGUGUUACCUGUCUUGUGACAACAUUCUUGCCACCGGGGAGUACUAAUGCCUACUGUUUAGAGCGAUCGAAAAUUUUGCUAAGGAUGUUGACGUAAUGGCUUUAAACGA